ACACACAGUGGAUAAUGGCAUCUUAGAGCACCUCUAUCCUACCAGUGAGUGACAAAGAUCACUCAGUCCCUCACUGACCCUGGGAGUUGGGGAGGGUCCCUUUAGUCUGUGGACACUGACGGCAGACUGGGCUUGUACCGCUGGGCGGCCCGACUGGGGUGAGGCUUUACUGCCCUGUGCUCCGUAUUCUCCCUCCGCAGUGGACAGCGGCGCCUGGGAUGUGCUGAUUGCUCACUUCCUGGGUGUGGAUCAUUGUGGUCAUAAGCAUGGCCCUCACCACCCUGAAAUGGCCAAGAAACUUAGCCAGAUGGACCAGGUGAUACAGGGUCUGAUAGAACGCCUGGAGAAUGACACACUGUUGGUGGUAGCUGGUGACCAUGGGAUGACCAUGAAUGGGGAUCAUGGAGGGGACAGU
rnacentral:lncRNA from 1 species